AGUGACAGGAGCGGGCCUCCAGCGGCGGAGUUGAAAGUGGGGGACAGCGGGGGACCGAAAGGCCGGUAAUUCAAAGAGGUCAGACGCCAUCUCUAUGAAGCCCCUUCUGAUCACCUAGCAGAGAAGGGAUCUCUUCUUCCUUCAGUAGCAGUUUCUUCUAAGAGGAUUAGGAGAAACCUUAGAGGAUGUGGCAUCUGAGUUGAUUGUGAAGAGUUUCAGCCAUAAGAACCGGAGGUACCCUGGAGAGCCAUCCAGAACACAGUUGGAAAUCCUGCAGACCGAAGUGGAAGCUAGAAGUGGGGCUUUGUGAAUACAGCCUAUUAGCUGGAGUCCCAAGACAAGGAGCUGAGAAGUGUCUCUCCAAAGAAUAGUGUUUACCUUGGAGACAUGGA